GUCACUGGACUACCUUUCCUCCAGUCUCUUCUCCAGUUCUUGUCCCUGAAGUUCUUUUGAACAGGCACAAUUCUGGGUCAGAAAUUUUGACCUUGUAUUGAUAAUUUCAUCCCUCCCUCGGGCUGUGUCUAUUUAUCUACUGGAGAUGGACUCUUUGAGUUCCCUCUCCCUACUGUUGGGUAUUUUGGCUAAGGUCACCCCCAUUGAUUCUUGAGAGUCUCUCAUCUCCCAGGUUUCUCAGACUUUCUAGAGGGUUAUCGUACCUCUCACCCCCAGAAACUGCAUAUUUUCAUUCAUUCUCCUGGCCCUCUAGGCAUUUAUUUUCUUAUAUCCCUUGACAUUGCCUGGAAGUUUCCAUCCUGGUAUGUGCCAAUGGGAAGACUGGCUUUCUUAUUUUGUUUGGCAGCUUCAUAUAAAUUCAUUAAGUUUCACUAUUCAGUUUUACCCUCAUCAGCAUCACUUCUCCUUCCACUCUUUUUCUUACAGGAAACCAAUCUGUAUGGGGAAGGGCUAGUGAAUCCAGGCUUUCUGCCCUGUAUUCUCUCCUCUGGAUGCUGGAUGCUUUCUGCUUUCACUGUAAAAAUCAGUGAACUCAAAUCUCCUUUCUGUCCCAUUCUUCCUUAAUUUUUCUGCUAUUCUUGAUUUAGGCCUUGUUAGGUCUUGGCUAUAUGAGUACAUUUGCUCUAUAGUCAACCAAGUACUCCCCUUCAUUCUCUGAAAUGGGAACUCAUUAGCUACCAGUAUCAACCCCUGUAUCCUUCAAGAAUCACAAAGAAGCAUUCCUGUCUACCCUGCCUACCCUUACCACUAACUAAGCAAGCACUGAUCCCCAGUAAGCAUCUUGAACUUCACAUUCCAACUACUGUUAUUGGUGAUACCAGAUGAUGAUUCAAAUAAUUCAAAGAGAAAUUAUGGUGCAAGACUGAACACAUGCAUUGAGAACUGGACAGUAUGGUGAACACUAAAGCCUGGCGGAAGGUGUGGCUCACAGACGUAAAAGUGGGAUCGUGACGCAGUGGGUUAUAUCUAUAGCAAGGAAGCAUAAAGCUCCCAGGAGAAAAAGAGCUGCUUUAAAACCUCGAACUCUACUUCUAUAAUCCUAAGUCUGUCAGAUGAAGCCCAAUGUCUAAAAGACUUACAAAUACCCAAAAUAAUAGUGCCAGCUGAGAGUCCAGUGUUCAGACCUGAGUAUAUGGGAACCUAUGGCCCUCCUAUAAUAACCUGACAUUACAGCCUCAUGAGCAUGGCUCUGAGGGUGGAAACACUUCCAUGCAUGUAUGUCUAUCUGCCUGACCCUUGGAUCCACAAAGUAACAAGAAAGAACCUGCUCCUAAGAAUUGUCCUCUGUCCUGCACAUGGGGGCCAUCACACGCACAUGUAUGCAGAGAUACACAUGAGUUUACCAAUACAACGUGGUCAGCCUUGAAAGCAUACACACAUAGAUAACAAAAGCAGAUUCAGAAAGUUUAUGUCUAUAUUUUUACAUCUAUACAUGUGCUGCAAUAGUGUUCGCAGUAAAAGAAACUAUCAAUUAAGGACAGGGGGAGGGAACAAGGGAGGAACUGAGGCCAGAAGGGAAACAGGAAGUGAUGCAAUUAUAUUUCAAUUAAAAUAUUUAAAUAAAAUAUUAAAAAAACAAUAACACCAA